GGGGUCGACUGGAUUUGACAGCUUGCGAUAGGGGAAUGUAAGCACGCGGGGAGUUGGAGUAUUUCCCCUAAAUAAAACUUUCAAAACAAUAACUGGCGAAGAAUCUUACGCCCUUGCUGCUUAAUCUGGAUAGAUAGGCAAAUGCAAGUGUCCCGCCGAAGCGCACGCUUUACCGCGUCGGAUAAGGGGCAUCGCAAAGUAGAGCUAAUCUGUGUCAGCCGUGAGGCAUAGGUGAAACCCAAACGGAUAAGGAAGGUGCUUGCCAGUUGCCAGCGUACACUUUCCCGACAAUCUAAAGGUAACUAAGCGUGUAGAAAGCAAUCUUGCUUCCUUGACUGGACGAGGGUUCGAAUCCCUCCGACUCCACAA
rnacentral:tmRNA from 1 species